rnacentral:rRNA from 1 species
CUAGCCUACGGGACGCAGCAGUAGGGAAUCUUCCACAAUGGGCGAAAGCCUGAUGGAGCAACGCCGCGUGGGUGAAGAAGGUCUUCGGAUCGUAAAACCCUGUUGUUAGAGAAGAAAGUGCGUGAGAGUAACUGUUCACGUUUCGACGGUAUCUAAUCAGAAAGCCACGGCUAACUACGUGCCAGCAGCCGCGGUAAUACGUAGGUGGCAAGCGUUAUCCGGAUUUAUUGGGCGUAAAGGGAACGCAGCGGGCCUUUUAA